AGUGAACGCUGGCGGUAGGCCUAACACAUGCAAGUCGAACGGCAGCACAGUAAGAGCUUGCUCUUACGGGUGGCGAGUGGCGGACGGGUGAGGAAUACAUCGGAAUCUACUUUUUCGUGGGGGAUAACGUAGGGAAACUUACGCUAAUACCGCAUACGACCUACGGGUGAAAGCAGGGGAUCUUCGGACCUUGCGCGAUUGAAUGAGCCGAUGUCGGAUUAGCUAGUUGGCGGGAUAAAGGCCCACCAAGGCGACGAUCCGUAGCUGGUCUGAGAGGAUGAUCAGCCACACUGGAACUGAGACACGGUCCAGACUCCUACGGGAGGCAGCAGUGGGGAAUAUUGGACAAUGGGCGCAAGCCUGAUCCAGCCAUACCGCGUGGGUGAAGAAGGCCUUCGGGUUGUAAAGCCCUUUUGUUGGGAAAGAAAAGCAGCAGGUUAAUACCCCGCUGUUCUGACGGUACCCAAAGAAUAAGCACCGGCUAACUUCGUG
rnacentral:rRNA from 1 species